GAGCGGCACGCUGCGAGGCGGCCGCUCUAGCCGCCCUUCUUGCACUCUAUGGUGCUUUUUCCGGAAGAGUGCGUCAGGACUGUAACGUUCCCCGUGCCGGUAGCGUGCGACUUGUAACGCUCUCAGGAGCAGGGGCCCCCCAGCUGACACCAGGGGCCACGGGCGCUCAGCCACCAUACACUCCGACCCAGGGGCCUCCUGUCACCGCGGGCAGCCGCCUGCUCGGCUAUUACCGGGCUAUUACCGGGCUAUUACUGGGCUAGCCGUGAC